rnacentral:rRNA from 1 species
GUUUCUUCGGAAAUGAGUAUGAGUGGCGCACGGGUGAGUAACACGUAGACAACUUGCCUUUAAGUGGGGGACAACCAUUCGAAAGGAUGGCUAAUACCGCAUAAGACCACAUUUUCCACUGGAAAAAGGGGUUAAAGAUUUAUCGCUUAAAGAUAGGUCUGCGUCCGAUUAGCUUGUUGGUAGGGUAAUGGCCUACCAAGGCGAUGAUCGGUAACUGGUCUGAGAGGAUGGCCAGUCACACUGGAACUGAGACACGGUCCAGACUCCUACGGGAGGCAGCAGUAGGGAAUCUUGCGCAAUGGGGGCAACCCUGACGCAGCGACGCCACAUGAGUGAUGAAGGUCUUCGGAUCGUAAAGCUCUGUUUUAGAGGAAUAAAAAAAUGAAGGUACUCUAACAGAAAAGACCGGCUAACUUCGUGCCAGCAGCCGCGGUAAUACGAGGGGUCUUAGCGUUGCUCGGAAUCAUUGGGCGUAAAGCGGGUGUAGAUGGUUAGGUAAGUCAGAAGUGAAAGCCUUGAGCUUAACUCAAGAAGUGCUUUUGAUACUGCUUAACUAGAGUGUAGGAGAGGAUAGUAGAAUUCUUGGUGUAGUGGUGAUAUACGUAGAUAUCAAGAGGAAUACCGGUGGGGAAGCCGGCUAUCUGGCCUAACACUGACAUUCAGACCCGAAAGCGUGGGGAGCAAACAGGAUUAGAUACCCUGGUAGUCCACGCCGUAAA